UACAUGGGGUGCAAACGUUGCUCGGAAUCAUUGGGCGUAAAGCGCGCGUAGGCGGUUACCUAAGUUGGAUGUGAAAGCCCUCGGCUUAACCGAGGAAGUGCACCCAAAACUGGGUAGCUAGAGUACUAAAGAGGGUCGCGGAAUUCCCGGUGUAGAGGUGAAAUUCGUAGAUAUCAGGAGGAACACCGGUGGCGAAGGCGGAUCGUCUGGGCCUUACCUGACGCUGAGGCGGCGAAAGCU
rnacentral:rRNA from 1 species